CCCCCCCCCCCUCUCACACUUGUAGAUCUGAAGCAAAAUGAAAGCCGUCGCACAUGGCGGCAGCGACGCGGUGUCUCAGCGGCGGAGGAGGAAGAUGAUGAUGCUGAGUGACAAUGAAUCUCCGACGAAGAUGAUGGCGGUGGUAAGGCACUUUGCCAACGAGCUUUUCCGGUGACGUUCCGUUCCGUUCGGGUGGAGAUUAUCGUCAGCCGCUUGACAUGGUGGUGGUGGUGAGACACGGCAACAACCGUUCUGGUUCGGGUUUUGUCCUGGGUCACGGCUUGGUCAGUCUUGGUUCACUUCAGAUUUGUUCGAGUAAUCGGGUCAAAAAUGGUGUUCGGUCAACGGGUCAAACGCAGUCAACACCGGGUUGACUGAGUCAAACCUGAAUCAACUCGGGUCAACACAGGUUCAGUUCGAGUCAACGGUCAGAUUUUGUUCGAAUCGGUCAACUGGUUUCGGUUUGAGUUUUCGGGUCAACACGUCAACCGGACAAAUCUUAGGCAACGGCAGUCAACUGUCGGGUCAAACACGGUCAACUCGGGACCCGGAACAAUAUAGUUGCACGCUAGCUAAAUGCACGUUCUUGGAACGACACUACGGAAUCACACUAAGCUAGCUUUGCACAG
rnacentral:lncRNA from 1 species